AUGAGGAAAUUUGAAAAAAAAAGAAAAAAAAAAAAGAAAUAAACAAGUCCGUUUGUUAAGAGGUCACAAAGCAAUAAAAGGCAAGACCGAGUUCGGAGUCAUAAAGCAAGCUGAUAAGGCGCCAUUUAUGUAAUGCCACAGCGACGUGUGCGUGCGUGAGCGCAAUAAAUGAGUCAGGUCACUCUGUUUAUAUAAGUGCCGAUAACCUACGACACAGUUGCCCUUUAUUGCCCAUCCCUCACGAUGAAUCUCGGAAAUACCCAUGGGCAAACUUUUGUCAUAGGAUUU